AGUGAACGCUGGCGGUAGGCCUAACACAUGCAAGUCGAACGGCAGCACAGUAAGAGCUUGCUCUUACGGGUGGCGAGUGGCGGACGGGUGAGGAAUACAUCGGAAUCUACUUUUUCGUGGGGGAUAACGUAGGGAAACUUACGCUAAUACCGCAUACGACCUACGGGUGAAAGCAGGGGAUCUUCGGACCUUGCGCGAUUGAAUGAGCCGAUGUGGGAUUAGCUAGUUGGCGGGGUAAAGGCCCACCAGGGCGGCGAUCGGUAGCUGGUCUGGGAGGCUGAUCAGCGACACUGGAACUGAGCCACGGUCAAGAGUCCUACGGGAGGGAGCAGUGGGGAAUAUUGGACAAUGGGCGGAAGCCUGAUCCAGCCAUACCGCGUGGGUGAAGAAGGCCUUCGGGUUGUAAAGCCCUUUUGUGGGGAAAGAAAAGCAGCAGGUUAAUACCCCGCUGUUCUGACGGUACCCAAAGAAUAAGCACCGGCUAACUUCGUG
rnacentral:rRNA from 1 species